rnacentral:rRNA from 1 species
GGUAAUACGUAGGGUGCGAGCGUUAAUCGGAAUUACUGGGCGUAAAGCGAGCGCAGACGGUUAGUUAAGCAAGAUGUGAAAUCCCCGAGCUCAACUUGGGAACUGCGUUUUGAACUGGCUAGCUAGAGUGUGUCAGAGGGGGGUAGAAUUCCACGUGUAGCAGUGAAAUGCGUAGAGAUGUGGAGGAAUACCGAUGGCGAAGGCAGCCCCCUGGGAUAACACUGACGUUCAUGCUCGAAAGCGUGGGUAGCAAACAGGAUUAGAUACCCUGGUAGUCCACGCCCUAAACGAUGUCAAUUAGCUGUUGGGCAACUUGAUUGCUUAGUAGCGUAGCUAACGCGUGAAAUUGACCGCCUGGGGAGUACGGUCGCAAGAUUAAAACUCAAAGGAAUUGACGGGGACCCGCACAAGCGGUGGAUGAUGUGGAUUAAUUCGAUGCAACGCGAAGAACCUUACCUGGUCUUGACAUGUACGGAAGAGAGUAGAGAUACUCUUGUGCCUUCGGGAGCCGUAGCACAGGUGCUGCAUGGCUGUCGUCAGCUCGUGUCGUGAGAUGUUGGGUUAAGUCCCGCAACGAGCGCAACCCUUGUCAUUAGUUGCCAUCAUUAAGUUGGGCACUCUAAUGAGACUGCCGGUGACAAACCGGAGGAAGGUGGGGAUGACGUCAAGUCCUCAUGGCCCUUAUGACCAGGGCUUCACACGUCAUACAAUGGUCGGUACAGAGGGUAGCCAAGCCGCGAGGUGGAGCCAAUCCCAGAAAACCGAUCGUAGUCCGGAUUGCACUCUGCAACUCGAGUGCAUGAAGUCGGAAUCGCUAGUAAUCGCAGGUCAGCAUACUGCGGUGAAUACGUUCCCGGGUCUUGUACACACCGCCCGUCACACCAUGGGAGUGGGGGAUACCAGAAGUAGAUAGGGUAACCGCAAGGAGCCCGUUUACCACGGUAUGUUUCAUGACUGGGGUGAAGUCGUAACAAGGUAGCCGUAGGGGAACCUGCGGCUGGAUCACCUCCUUU